UUCCUACUGAAUCAGAAUGUCAACGGGAGGGACCUGGGAGUUUGCAUUUUAACAAGCUCCCCAAGUGCUUGUUAACUAACUUUUGAGAGCUGAGGCAGUAAGGUCUUCCUGGUCCCAAGGCCCCUUCAAAUUGAGAAGCAGCCCUAAGAUGGGGAUCCCACAGCGACUGUAAGAGCUGCAAAUUGAGGGAAGAGGAAUUAGAGUAGGAUGAGGCAAUCCCAGCAGUGGCCAAGAAGGAAAGGCCGAGAAGUCCAGCAGUGCUCAGGAGGCACUGUCAUGCUAGCUGGAGCUGCCCGCCCAGGAGUAUUCACAGCCCCACCUUACCCACCUUGUCAGGGUAUUGCUGUGGGGGGGGCAGAGCAACACUGGGGGUCAUGGGAAUACAGACUGAUGCUCUUUGGAUGGAGUCAUUCACAAGCUUUGGGUGUACCGACCACACUAUCCUGAUCACUUGAGACCAUCCGUGCACAAGGACUUAAAAUCCAGACUCCUCUGUGGCAGUACAAAAGGACAGGGGGUUACCUUGGCAGGUUUUCCUAGUGAACCCUCAUUUCUGUCUAGUGAAUUUAAUGUUCUUUAAGAACAUAUUUUAAUAAUUUUUUAAAAGCUUAAUAUGUUGAAUAGGUAAUAUAUUUACAUGGUACAAAAU
rnacentral:lncRNA from 1 species